UAGGGAAUCUUCGGCAAUGGGGGGAACCCUGACCGAGCAACGCCGCGUGAGUGAAGAAGGUUUUCGGAUCGUAAAGCUCUGUUGUUAAGGAAGAACGAGUGUGAGAAUGGAAAGUUCAUGCUGUGACGGUACUUAACCAGAAAGGGACGGCUAACUACGUGCCAGCAGCCGCGGUAAUACGUAGGUCCCGAGCGUUGUCCGGAUUUAUUGGGUGUAAAGCGAGCGCAGGCGGUUAGAUAAGUCUGAAGUUAAAGGCAGUGGCUCAACCAUUGUAGGCUUUGGAAACUGUUUAACUUGAGUGCAGAAGGGGAGAGUGGAAUUCCAUGUGUAGCGGUGAAUUGCGUAGAUAUAUGGAGGAACGCCGGUGGCGAAAGCGGCUCUCUGGUCUGUAACUGACGCUGAGGCUCGAAAGCGUGGGUAGCAAACAGG
rnacentral:rRNA from 1 species